rnacentral:rRNA from 1 species
UCUGACAACCCUAGAGAUAGGGCUCUCAUCGGGAGCAGAGUGACAGGUGGUGCAUGGUUGUCGUCAGCUCGUGUCGUGAGAUGUGGGUUAAGUCCCGCAACGAGCGCAACCCGUUGAUCUUAGUUGCCAUCACUAAGUUGGGCACUCUAAGGUGACUGCCGGUGACAAACCGGAGGAAGGUGGGGAUGACGUCAAAUCAUCAUGCCCCUUAUGACCUGGGCUACACACGUGCUACAAUGGACGGUACAAAGAGCUGCAAGACCGCGAGGUGGAGCUAAUCUCAUAAAACCGUUCUCAGUUCGGAUUGUAGGCUGCAACUCGCCUACAUGAAGCUGGAAUCGCUAGUAAUCGCGGAUCAGCAUGCCGCGGUGAAUACGUUCCCGGGCCUUGUACACACCGCCCGUCACACCACGAGAGUUUGUAACACCCGAAGUCGGUGGGGUAACCUUUUGGAGCCAGCCGCCUAAGGUGGGACAGAUGAUUGGGGGAAGUCGUAACAAGGUAA